rnacentral:lncRNA from 10 species
CUGGACUCAUUUCAGGACUCUGAGCAGAGUUCUUAGGUCUGUAAGCCAAGCCACUUCUGUUUCUCUUUUGAGUUGCUAUAAAGUACAGACGAUUCUACCAACCUUGACACAAACGCCCAGCUGCCCCCAGUUCAGUGCCACAGAGAAAAGCCUUGCAGAACAGGUUGAGUUUGUGGAUGGGCAUGGGGUAGAAGGUAUCAUCUCUUCUCUAUCAAUGACUUGGGUGAUACUUCUGGCAACAAAACAGACAGUUCUCGGCCUCUGUGUUUUCAUUGUCCAACUGAAGAUUAGACAAGAGGCAGCAUGGGGUGGUGGAUAAAUCGUGGACCAGGAUUGAAGCGAAGAUCUGCUCAUCUGGGACACUCACCAGUUAUGAAGACCAGAAAUCUAAAAUAAAGGUGUUGGCAAGACCAUGUCCUCUCUGCAGCCUCUUGGGAAGAAUCCUUCCUUGCCUCCUCCUCUUCUGGUGGUUCUCAUUAUUCCUUGGCUUAUGGCAGGCUCUGCUCCCUUUCAGGCAGUCCUCCAGAGUUGGCUGCACCUAUCUUCUCCAAGGGUUUUCAAGACUGUUGUUCCACAAAGCCAAUGGCCUAUUGGGUCAACGUCCUUCCUUCCCAUCAAUGGAUGUGCUGAUAUCGUGUUCUCUCAGUGGGAGAUAUGAAAUUAACCAGGAAUGGUGAAUUUCACAAUAAAAAACACGAAGGGAUGCUUCCUAGACCUACAAAGGGGGAGACAGUGCACGGAUACCACAAACUUCACGUGCACUGAUAGGACAAUAAACAAAUGCCUCCCAAGAGAUGUUACAUGGACAAGAAGGGCACAAAGAAGUUUAUACUUCCUGCUCUAGAUUAAUUGUAUCCCGAUACAACACAGGAAGGACAUGGGCUUGAAAUGAACAGACUUGGGCCCAGAUUCUAGCUCCAUCAUUUGCUUCUUUAUCCAGAGCCUCCAAUUCAUUUGCCUUCCAGAGUUUCUGCAGUGAUCAGCAAAACCAUCUGACACAGGGGACCACACAGCGGGAACUCAAUAAAUGCUAAUUCCUUCUCUCAUCCUGUUGCAGAGUCAGCCCAAACCUCUCUCCAAUAUCUUCUACAGGGAAAAGAUCUCUUGGGCUCACCCAGGCUGGGCUGUGGUGUGCAAUUCUUCAUUAAGAGAUAUGAAGAGCCCAGAAAUGGAAAAGCUGGAAUAAAGGAAUGCAGAGUGGGGCUGCCUGUUUUGUUCCUUUUGCAAACACACACAAACAUGAUGAUGGGGAGCAGCACCAGGGACAUGUCAAAGAUGACAGCAGCACUGGUCAGGUGCAAAUUGCCCUUCGAAAAAUGCCUAAGGCAGCACAGCUUUUGGCAGUCUUUUUUUUUUUUCUUUUCUAAUCAAGGCAAAGAUUUCUCUAAAAAAGCACAUAGUAAAGGAAGCCAAAGGAAUGUUAGUGCCUGUCUCUAGAAGCCACAUUUAUCUAUUUUUAGUCCCCAGCAAAGCCCAGUACACUGUAAUCAGUAUAAUAACAUGCUGUCUUUCAUAAAGACAGAUGACACAGUUGACCUUCAGUCCCCAUCUGGACACAGGACGUGUGCUGUGGGUUGUUUUGUCAGCUGUGGGCUUGGAUUAUUUGUCUGUACCCUCUCAUCUAGUUUGGAUCAGAACCAGGCAUUUUCAGGAAGACUAGAAAAUAUGAGUGUGGGGUCAACUGGACCUCUGAAAAAAGAAUUGGUAGAUGUGAAGUCUGAAGGCAUCAUGGGUGGAAUUAGUAUGGAAUUUUGCUCAAGUUACUUACUUCUGUAAAGACCUACUGGCCCCUUAUACUUUGUGGAAUAAAAUCUUCACCUUGAUCUUUUUCACCCAAGUUGGUAACUCAAUGCAGUCUUCCUGCUGGACCACUUCCUCAAUCUUGGGACAUCAAAUAUAUACUCUCAACCUCCUUGAACACAAUAAAACUUAACUUUCUCCAGACUGAGAACAGAAUUGUCCUGGAAACCUCCUG